GAUGAACGCUGGCGGAGUGCCUAAUACAUGCAAGUCGAGCGAACGGACGAGAAACUUGCUCCUAUGAUGUUAGCGGCGGAAGGGCGAGUAACACGUGGAUAACCUACCUAUAAGACUGGGAUAACUUCGGGAAACCGGAGCUAAUACCGGAUAAUAUUUUGAACCGCAUGGUUCAAAAGUGAAAGACGGUCUUGCUGCCACUUAUAGAUGGAUCCGCGCUGCAUUAGCUAGUUGGUAAGGUAACGGCUUACCAAGGCAACGAUGCAUAGCCGACCUGAGCGGGUGAUCCGCCACACAGGAACUGAGACACGGUCCAGACUCCUACGGUAGGCAGCAGUAGGGAAUCUUCCGCAAUGGGCGAAAGCCUGACGGAGCAACGCCGCGUGAGUGAUGAAGGUCUUCGGAUCGUAAAGCUCUGUUAUUAGGGAGGAACGUAUGUGUAAGUAACUGUGCACAUCUUGACGGUACCUAGUCAGAAAGCCACGGCUAACUACGUG
rnacentral:rRNA from 1 species